rnacentral:rRNA from 1 species
AUGAACGCUAGCUACAGGCUUAACACAUGCAAGUCGAGGGGCAGCAUGAACUUAGCUUGCUAAGUUUGAUGGCGACCGGCGCACGGGUGAGUAACACGUAUCCAACCUGCCGAUGACUCGGGGAUAGCCUUUCGAAAGAAAGAUUAAUACCCGAUGGCAUAGUUCUUCCGCAUGGUGGAACUAUUAAAGAAUUUCGGUCAUCGAUGGGGAUGCGUUCCAUUAGGUUGUUGGCGGGGUAACGGCCCACCAAGCCUUCGAUGGAUAGGGGUUCUGAGAGGAAGGUCCCCCACAUUGGAACUGAGACACGGUCCAAACUCCUACGGGAGGCAGCAGUGAGGAAUAUUGGUCAAUGGACGAGAGUCUGAACCAGCCAAGUAGCGUGAAGGAUGACUGCCCUAUGGGUUGUAAACUUCUUUUAUACGGGAAUAAAGUGAGGCACGUGUGCCUUUUUGUAUGUACCGUAUGAAUAAGGAUCGGCUAACUCCGUGCCAGCAGCCGCGGUAAUACGGAGGAUCCGAGCGUUAUCCGGAUUUAUUGGGUUUAAAGGGAGCGUAGGCGGACGCUUAAGUCAGUUGUGAAAGUUUGCGGCUCAACCGUAAAAUUGCAGUUGAUACUGGGUGUCUUGAGUACAGUAGAGGCAGGCGGAAUUCGUGGUGUAGCGGUGAAAUGCUUAGAUAUCACGAAGAACUCCGAUUGCGAAGGCAGCUUGCUGGACUGUAACUGACGCUGAUGCUCGAAAGUGUGGGUAUCAAACAGGAUUAGAUACCCUGGUAGUCCACACAGUAAACGAUGAAUACUCGCUGUUUGCGAUAUACAGUAAGCGGCCAAGCGAAAGCGUUAAGUAUUCCACCUGGGGAGUACGCCGGCAACGGUGAAACUCAAAGGAAUUGACGGGGGCCCGCACAAGCAGUGGAGUAUGUGGUUUAAUUCGACGCAACGCGAAGAACCUUACCAAGUCUUGACAUCCCUUGACGAACAUAGAAAUAUGUUUUCUCUUCGGAGCAAGGAGACAGGUGGUGCAUGGUUGUCGUCAGCUCGUGUCGUGAGAUGUUGGGUUAAGUCCCGCAACGAGCGCAACCCCUGUUUCUAGUUGCCAGCAUGUAAAGAUGGGAACUCUAGAAAGACUGCCGUAGAUAAUACGGAGGAAGGUGGGGAUGACGUCAAAUCAGCACGGCCCUUACGUCCGGGGCUACACACGUGUUACAAUGGGGGGUACGGAAGGCAGCUACACGGCGACGUGAUGCCAAUCCCGAAAGCCUCUCUCAGUUCGGAUUGGAGUCUGCAACCCGACUCCAUGAAGCUGGAUUCGCUAGUAAUCGCGCAUCAGCCACGGCGCGGUGAAUACGUUCCCGGGCCUUGUACACACCGCCCGUCAAGCCAUGAAAGCCGGGGGUACCUGAAGUGCGUAACCGCAAGGAGCGCCCUAGGGUAAAACUGGUGAUUGGGGCU